UCUCACAGGGAUGUUUGGGAUAUUUAAUGGACAGUCCUCAACUCCAGACAUACGGCCCUCUGCGGUUACAGUGCAAACUCAUUUGUCUUUGCAGAGCAAGCCGAGAUGUUGGAUUCACCUCGGGGACAAAAUGUACGGCAAUACUUUCCUAAAGCUGAAUUUACAGUUCUGCGUUGAGGGUAGAUGACGCCGCUACAAAACUGAGUUAACAUUACCCCCGCGGCCGUGCACCUCACUGUGCUCCAGGCCACCACUCACAGUUGCUGUUUCCUACAUUCCUAUGGUCAUCCAUGUAUUGCAAUUUUUUCAACCGGCUCCUGGACAAGUAUGAAAACCAGCAUCCCAUUGUCUUGACUGUUUAUCAGAGUUUCAGUGAAUAAAACAAUCGUG